GACGAACGCUGGCGGCGUGCUUAACACAUGCAAGUCGAACGGAAAGGCCCCUUUGGGGGUACUCGAGUGGCGAACGGGUGAGUAACACGUGAGUAACCUGCCCUUGACUUCGGGAUAACUUCAGGAAACUGGGGCUAAUACCGGAUAGGAAUCCUUGCUGCAUGGUGGGGGUUGGAAAGCUUCGGCGGUUUUGGAUGGACUCGCGGCUUAUCAGCUUGUUGGUGGGUUAGUGGCUUACCAAGGCUUUGACGGGUAGCCGGCCUGAGAGGGCGACCGGCCACAUUGGGACUGAGAUACGGCCCAGACUCCUACGGGAGGCAGCAGUGGGGAAUAUUGCACAAUGGGCGGAAGCCGGAUGCAGCAACGCCGCGUGCGGGAUGACGGCCUUCGGGUUGUAAACCGCUUUCAGCAGGGGCGAAGCUUGUGGUGACGGUACCUGCAGAAGAAGCACCGGCUAACUACGUG
rnacentral:rRNA from 1 species